rnacentral:tRNA from 1 species
GAAUAUAAAAUAGAUUGUGCUAUGUCUGGUUACGGCUCAGAAAGAUUUUAUAUUUU